rnacentral:rRNA from 1 species
GAUGAACGCUGGCGGCGUGCUUAACACAUGCAAGUCGAACGGAAAGGCCCAAGCUUGCUUGGGUACUCGAGUGGCGAACGGGUGAGUAACACGUGGGUGAUCUGCCCUGCACUUCGGGAUAAGCCUGGGAAACUGGGUUUAAUACCGGAUAGGACCACAUCUUGGAUGGAGUGGUGGAAAGUUUUUCGGUGUGGGAUGAGCUCGCGGCCUAUCAGCUUGUUGGUGGGGUAAUGGCCUACCAAGGCGUCGACGGGUAGCCGGCCUGAGAGGGUGUACGGCCACAUUGGGACUGAGAUACGGCCCAGACUCCUACGGGAGGCAGCAGUGGGGAAUAUUGCACAAUGGGCGCAAGCCUGAUGCAGCGACGCCGCGUGGGGGAUGACGGCCUUCGGGUUGUAAACUCCUUUCGCUAGGGACGAAGCGCAAGUGACGGUACCUGGAGAAGAAGCACCGGCUAACUACGUG